AUCAUGCCACUGCACUCCAGCUGCAUGACAGAGUGAGACCCUGUCUCAAAAAAAAAAAAAAAAAAGAGAGAGAGAGAGAAACCCAGUAGUUUGAGGAACAGAAAACCAAGCUAAACAGCCAAAAUGAAUGGCUCCUGUAAGGCAAAUUUAAUGUAAGAAAUAGUGGUGAUGGCGCGCCUAUAGUCCAAGCCACUCCGGAGGCUGAGGCGGGAAAAACCACUUGAACUGGGAGGCGGAGGUUGUAGUGAAUGAGCCGAGAUUGCACCACUGCACUCUAGCCUGGACUACAGAGUGAGACUCUGUCUCAAGAAAAAAAAAAGAAAAAGAAGCGAACUUAAAAACGUGAUAUGUAAAAAUAUGGUUUUACAGUUUUUUGACAUUCAAUUGUAUUGAAAAAUGGAAUGGAUACUCUUAAAAAUCAACCCGAAGAAGAUCAAACAGCAAGUUGCCUCAUGAUGCAAAACAAAAAUGCAAAGGAAGCCACUAGUGAGAAGAUAAAAGAAAGGAAAGGAAAAUACAGGAACUGCAGUGUGAGGUAGGAGUUCCAGAAGGAACAGAUGGAGAAAGCAAUAAUCGAAUAAGACGACAACUUCUUUGGGUUUAAAAAAAAAAAAAAAGAAAAAUCUCUCGGACUAAGUUAUACUGAGUGCUAAACCUGAUCAAUGAACUAAGAUAUUCCUCCCUCAGAUAUAUUCUAGUGAUAUUUUUCACCUUCAGAGAUCAAAAAAGAGCUUACAUUUGGGGUGAUAAAAGUAUUCUGGAACUAGAUAGUGGUGACUGUGGUACAACAUUGUGAAUGUAGUAAAUGUCACGGUAAGUUUUAUGUGUAUUUUACUACAAUAAAAAAAAAAAGUGACCCUACGGCUAGCAGGUCCCAAAAGAAACUCCCGCAACCGUUAGCAGUCACUCCCCAUUCUUCCUCUGGCAGCUCUGGCAACCAUGAAUCUGCUUUCUGCCCCUAUAAAUUUGCCUAUUCUGAGUGUUUCAUAUAAACUGAAUCAUACCAAAGAUGGCCCUUUGUGUCUGGCCUCUUUGAGCACAGUGUUUUUAGGGUUCAUCCAUAUUGUAGCAUUUAUCAGUACUUCCUUUCUUUUUAUGGCUAAAUAAUAUUCCAUUGCAUGGAUAUACCAAAAUAUGUUUAUCCAUUUAAUGAUUGGUGAAUGCUUGAAUUGUUUCCAAGCCAGCACAUUUUAUAGAGAAAAAGGAAAGCGCUGGUUAACUUGAACCAAAAAAAAAAAAAAAGUGCUUUCUGCCAUCUGGGACCUUGGCUGUGGAUCAGGUGAGUGCACAGGUCAGACCAAAACCCUACGGUUGGCAUGGCUUGGGCCUCUGUCCAUGGUUGCAGGGGCAUCUCCACAGCUACUGCAUGCAGUGAUCAUGGGGACCCCAGCCCUGGGCUUAGGCAAGGGUGCCGUGCUGUUGUACAUCACCAAACACUUCAAGCUGAGGCACCUCUCCAGCAGGGACUGCUCCAGGACAACAUGCUACAGGGCACAGAAAUUGGUAUGUUAGCCAAGGCUUUUCUUGACCAAGGGAAACUCAUUCCAAAUGAUGUUACGACUCGGCUGAGGCCCUUCACGAACUGAAAAAUCUCACCUAAUGUAGCUGGUUGUCCAAGGACACUGCCAUAGGCAGAAGCCCUAGAUGAGCUUAUCAGAUAGACACAAUGAUUAACUCGUAUGUGCCCUUUGAGGGCAUUUAAACAACACUUCACUGCCUGCUAUUCAGCCAGCCAGUGGCGGAGUCUGCUACAUUGAAUUCAACCCUCCCCAAACUGUGGGCAUUGCUGAUCUGACUGGGAGGCCUCUCAUUCAGCCUGAGGAUGAUGGACCAGAGACACAGUUAUCAAGAGACUGAAAAUUUAUGGAGCCAGUCCCAGAAUUUACCAGAAAAAAAGGAUGUUGGAAACACUCUCCAGAGCAGAAUCCAACAAGAUUUAACACUAUGUUUAUGCUUUCCUACAAACUAAAGUUCCACAAAUAAAUCAGAAAGCCCCAGUUACUCCAUGAGGAGAAAUGAUUAUAACUAGUAAGAUGAGCAGAACCUCCUUAUCCUUGGAUUUAGAAGCUCCUUUUCCUAAGAAUGGAGGAUAUAUAAAUAAGAAUGUAUGCAUGUAUAAGAAUGUAUGCAUGUAUAAAUUCUUUGAAAAUUAUAUUAUUUCUACAGAUUUUAUUCUGGAUACUAAUGAUGUGCCAAAUGAAUCAGGUACUGAUUCAUCUUUUGAAAUCAUGUAAUGUGUUUUAUCUAGUUAUCUUCUAGCAGUGUGCAAUUCAAAAACAUCAGCAGUGUCUAAACUUUUAAAACAUCUGUUAGAGCAAAAUUAAAAGAGCAAUUAGUAGUCUUUUUUCUUCAGUAAGAGUAAGUGGUUGAUAAAAUUUUCAUAUUUUUCUGGAAAAGUUUUUAAAAGUUACAUGUCAUUUGGGGAAAAUAUCUCAAAAGUUUUUGCAUAGAGAUAUUUCUAGCCCUGUGGAACAUGGAUUUGUGAGACAUCAUGUCUAUAAAAUUCCAGAAAACCAGCAACUGGAUUUAGAGAUCUGUUGCAAGAUGCAAAUUCACUGCUGCCUUUACACCAAGACAUUUAUAAGCUAACCAUAUUGCUAUAUUUAUUUUGUUGUUAAACGUAUCUUCAGUUUACUCAGAAUUUUCAAUUUGCUAUACAAUUAUCAAUUAGCAUAUGGGAAUAUAUUACUUUAAGAUGACUUGUUUUCUUUUGAAAAUACAUAUGUGCUGAGGGAUAUGAUUUAUGUCAGAAAUUGACAUUGUAAGUUCUUGGAUAAGUUCUUGCACCACAGUGGAAUGAAUUUUCAAUGGAAAAUGUAAUUUAAAGACUUAUUUUUUCAUCUGUUACUCAGGUUUAGUAAUGUAUGUUUUAAGAUCUACUUGCCAGUUUCUUUUCGAUCAAACAUGAUCUGCCUUGAAUAACAACAUCUGGUACCAA